AUUGAACGCUGGCGGCAGGCCUAACACAUGCAAGUCGAACGAGUGGCGGACGGGUGAGUAAUGUCUGGGAAACUGCCUGAUGGAGGGGGAUAACUACUGGAAACGGUAGCUCAUACCGCAUACCAUCGGAUGUGCCCAGCGGGGAUUAGCUAGUAGUUGGGGUAAAGGCUCACCUAGGCGACUAUCCCUAGCUGGUCUGAGAGGAUGACCAGCCACACUGGAACGGAGACCCGGUCCAGACUCCUACGGGAGGCAGCAGUGGGGAAUAUUGCACAAUGGGCGAAAGCCUGAUGCAGCCAUGCGGCGUGUAUGAAGAAGGCCUUCGGGUUGUAAAGUACUUUCAGCGGGGAGGCGUUACCCGCAGAAGAAGCACCGGCUAACUCCGUGCCAGCAGCCGCGGUAAUUC
rnacentral:rRNA from 1 species